CGAACGGCUGGCGGCGUGCUUAACACAUGCAAGUCGAACGCGAAAGGGACUUCGGUCCUGAGUAAAGUGGCGCACGGGUGAGUAACGCGUAGAUAGCCUGUCUUCAUGGUCUGGAAUAAUACGCCAAAGGGGUACUAAUACCGGAUAUCUUGCUUUUCAUAAGUAUGCAAGCAAAGGUGGCCUCUGCAUAUGCUACUGCAUGAAGAGGGGUCUGCGUACCAUUAGCUAGUAGGUGGGGUAAUGGCCUACCUAGGCGACGAUGGUUAGCGGGUCUGAGAGGAUGAUCCGCCACACUGGCACUGGAACACGGGCCAGACUCCUACGGGAGGCAGCAGUGAGGAAUAUUGCGCAAUGGGGGAAACCCUGACGCAGCGACGCCGCGUGAGUGAGGAAGGCCUUCGGGUCGUAAAGCUCUGUCAAGAGGAAAGAAGUGUACAAUGGCUAAUACCUGUUGUAUUUGACGGUACCUCUAAAGGAAGCACCGGCUAACUCCGUGCCAGCCGCCGC
rnacentral:rRNA from 1 species